rnacentral:rRNA from 1 species
GACGAACGCUGGCGGCGUGCUUAACACAUGCAAGUCGAACGAAGAGCGAUGGAAGCUUGCUUCUAUCAAUCUUAGUGGCGAACGGGUGAGUAACGCGUAAUCAACCUGCCCUUCAGAGGGGGACAACAGUUGGAAACGACUGCUAAUACCGCAUACGAUCUGACCUCGGCAUCGAGGAUAGAUGAAAGGUGGCCUCUAUUUAUAAGCUAUCACUGAAGGAGGGGAUUGCGUCUGAUUAGCUAGUUGGAGGGGUAACGGCCCACCAAGGCGAUGAUCAGUAGCCGGUCUGAGAGGAUGAACGGCCACAUUGGGACUGAGACACGGCCCAGACUCCUACGGGAGGCAGCAGUGGGGAAUCUUCCGCAAUGGACGAAAGUCUGACGGAGCAACGCCGCGUGAGUGAUGACGGCCUUCGGGUUGUAAAGCUCUGUUAAUCGGGACGAAAGGCCUUCUUGCGAAUAGUUAGAAGGAUUGACGGACCG